ensembl:lncRNA
GGCAGCUGUUGCUGGCGGAGGGCUCUGGAGAAGCCGUGACAUUGUAACUGCAAGCAAGCAGGAAGGGUCAGGGAGCAGAGGGGAAGUGCCCUAGCAGCAGCUCCAGUCCCUGUCCUGUACCAAGCCUUUGGCUCCUCAGAAGUGACUCACAACUCUCCUGUGCUGUAUCAAAGUGUUCUACAGGGAACUGAAUGCUGUGCCAAAGACUUUGCUCUGCACAGCAGCUGUCAUCUUGGGAUUUCUCCCUCCCCCUCUUGCAGAAACGUCACUUGAAGCCAUUUGUCUCAAUGGAAAUCUCCCCUUGCUGAAAAGGUAAGAUGUCAACUGAAAGUCGAGGCACUAUGUAGGUUAAAAUGGACCAAAAGGAGCUGACCUACAAAAAGUCAAUAACUCAGUGGGAUGACAGGGUUCUCUUGCUGGCUGCCCUUCCUCAGGGAAGAAAUAACGGUGUCACACAGAGCAGUAACUUUUAGGAAUGCUGUGAAUUGUGAUUCCUACUUUUAUUUUUUUAAACAAAGUUCAAAGUAGUAUUCUGAAAUAAGGCCACUAGGUGAGUUCCUGUGUAAAGGCCAAGAAAAUGCAGCUGCUGCCAUGAGAUAAAAGACAAAACUAAUAUGAGUAACAGGACAGAGAAACUUCAGAAGUAGAUCAUCUAUCAAAGACAGAACAACAGAGGUUGAUAAAGAAGAAGAUUAAAGUAGAAUAGAAAAAGUAAUCAGAGGAGGUCUCAAGUGAGAGCUGUUGGAGGAUGAACUACAGAGAGGAGGAAGCCUUUGAGUCGUUAAAUGCACCUCGAAGUGUAGUCGUGCCUUUACUGAUGGUCAAAACCACACCCACUGAAGUGAGUACAAAGAUAUCAACUGAUGCAGAACUGAGCCUACAAAGACCCUCAGCAGCAUCACUGUUGGACAUGGCACAUGUCACCUGCUGAUGCUCUGCUGGUCACAAAGAGGAGCUGGAAAACUGUUCCCAAAACAAAGUACAUGUAGCUCAGCUGUGCAUGGCUUCUGGGAAUUCCUCUUUUUAGGAAUGCUGUUAACCAGAGGACCUGGAAUCAGCCACAGUGUGCUGAGACUCCUGUGGGCAGAUGAGAAGGUAUAUGGGGUACUCAUUGCAAGCUUUGGUGUACAAUCACAAGUGUGUGUCUUGUGAAGAGAUACCUCAAAUGAAUGUGAAGAAAGUAGGCUUAUCAGCAAUCAAAGUGGAAGGUGAUAUGCCUGCAUUAACGUUGGGAUUAUGAUCACUAACAUCCACUGCUUGGUCUCCACAAGCAUUCAGCAAGCAUCAAUGAAUGUCAAUGGAUGUAAGUUUUUCCACAUGGAGGAACUCAGUUAAACAACCUCCUUUCAUCUGCACUUCCAUGUCAAACACAACUCUGUCAGACUGCCCCUCUGCUGCUGUCCAUCAUACAUCAAUAACGUAGCAGAAUAUUGUCCGGGAGGUUCAACCUCUACUGCCAUACCACCUACAUCUGUCUCUGACAUCGUGGGCCAACAUAAUAAAACAGGAGGCAUUACUUUUGGAGCAGACCUUGCAUGUAUAUAAUUAUUUAGCAAUACAGUUUUAUGACUUUUGGAGACCAGAGUAAAGGAUGAGGGCUGUGACAUGGGAGCACAUUUGUAAGAACAGAGUUUUCAAGCAUGCAGGGGCAAGAAUUGCAAAUGGAACCAAUAACCCAAAGAAAAAGAAGCUUCGUAUGAGAAAAUCACUUGUUUACAGGUUUACUAUUUUUUUUCUGCCUGUGAAACCUAGCAGUAUAGGUAUAAUAACCAUUUUAGAAUGGCCCUUCUGCUCUGCUGGAAGGUGGGUGGCCGCAAGGUGGGAGUAAACAUUAGCUCAGUCCUCUCAAGAAAAAAAAGAGACUUAGACCGUUGCCCAUUCAGGGGGAGUGUUAGAAGGAUGGUCAAGUUCCAGAAUACUGAGCUGUACAAGAAAAGAGAACAAAACAAAAAUGUCUAAAGGGAUGAAGCCAUCUACGGACAAUGGACAAAUGCACGGUUCAGCUGGAACCUUGUAGGCCUGCUGAACAGCAAUUGAUUGUCUUCUCCUGCAUGUGAACAGGGAGAUGAAGUCUGACCUCUCCCACUACUGCUGCUAAGAGAGACACGAAUAUGAGUGCUUGUGUAAAAUAACAUUUAUGUGACAAUUCCAUCCUUUUUAUGAAGAUGGUAUAAUUUACAUAUCACAUUUGGAUUAUGUUACUUGUUAGCAUAGCAAUCCCAGUUUUCUUCUCCUGCAUUUCAAAACUUCAGACAUUACAACUAUAAGCAAAUAAUAUUGAAUAUUUGGUAACUACUAGCCUUUCUAAAGACAUCAUUUAACCAAGGGAAUGUGAAGUAUUUAUUAAUGGCAAGACUAUUAGU